UUGCGCGUGGCAGUGCAGAGGAACGUCGGCGGGUGAAUUCAGAUUGAGCCAUUGGAAAGAUGAUACCCAAAAGUAUUAUUUUCGGACAUACAGACUACGUUGUAGUCAACAAAAAAUGGAUUGCAACUUGCAAAACAUGCAGGAAGAAAAUGACAGAUGGAGGCGCAACAACUUCCAACUUUAUUCGACAUUUGAAGCUGCACAAAGAACGAUUUGAACAAUACCAGACGAACAAAAUUGUCACAAGUGAACCACAACAGUCUCCAAUCUAACAGUUCAUGGAGACCCGUGUAGGGAAGUACAGCAUGAAUCAUCCACAGCAGAAAGCUAUCAACAAUGCAAUACUGUACGACCUGGUUAUCGAUUGCAACUUACCUCUGUCUAUUGUGGAAAACAAGAGUUUUGGUCACUUUCUGUCAGUGGUUGACAGUAAGUACAGCCCAGUGUGUCGUAGAACAUUGACAUCAAAAGUAGAGAACCUCGCUACAGAGAGACGUUCAAAACUCUAAACUCAGUUGAGCAACACAGACCAUGUUUCAGUCACAGUGGACAUUUGGUCUGACCGAAAGAUGUGGGGGUUCCUUGGUGUCACUGUGCGGAGAAAGAUGGAGAGAGGAUACAACUCAAGUCCAAUCUCUUGGCCUGUGACCGCUUCAAAGGAAUCUGUGAGCAAUUUGAGGCCAUAUGUGGUGAGUACAGCAUUAAAGAUAAAUUGGACCAUAUCAUUAGUGACAAUGCUGCCAACAUGAGAAAAACAUUCACGGUGUGCUUCCCCAUUGAACAAGAAGAUGAAGUACAUGACGAAGAUCACCUUGAUGACCCAGAGCUCUGGAAUGACCUAACCCUGGAAGACCAGCAAACAGUGGAUGCUGCUAUUGCAAAAGCAGUGCUUGCAGUGUUUUGCCCACAUUCUCCAGCUGGUGGUGGGAGAUGGCUUGAAAGAAACAACAGGGAUGACUCCUUCUCUUUCAAAGUUAUCAAAAAUCAGCUCACUGCUGCAUACAAGCACAACAUUCAAAGAGGUGUUUGGGGCUGAAUUUGAGGAAAGAGGCAUCCCUGCUGCUGUCAACACAACAUGGAACUCCACACUGAGACAAGGCGGUUAUCCCAUGUGACCAUCGAAAGCUCAGUCAUGUUCUAGAAAAGGCUGGGCACAAGGAGUUGUUGUUCACAGUACGGGAGUAGAAUAAGUUGAAGGAGUUGGUGGACCUCCUGAAGCCAUUUGGAGAAGCAACAGAUAUGACACAGGGGGAGAAGAUAGUCACAAUCAGUUCUGUUGUUCCCUCGGUCCUGUCCCUGAAUCACCACCUGGAGCAGCGGAAGCCUCAAGUCCAUUUCCUGAGACUUCUGAUGCCUGGUCAGAAGUCUCCAGGCAUCCCAGAACAAAAGAUUUCUUGGAAUCUUCUUCAAUGUGAAAAUGGCCAGGACACAAGAUGGAAUCACUGCCCCCUUUUCAGAUCCAGUCUACCUCAAAGCAGCUGCCUUGGAUCCGGAUUUUUCUCUGAUGUGGACGGAGCACCAUGUGCUGGUCAAGGAGGAGGUGGCACAAAGAGUGAAAGAGCAAGAUGCUUGAGGGACUGAGCAAGCUGUGCCUCUUGUUGAUGAGGAAGAGCAAGAGGACCAUAGUCUUGGACAAGAAGAAGGGCUGUUUGCGGCAUACUGUAAGAA